AGAACACUGAAUCCAGACUACCAGAUUGCUGACCAUAGACUUGUUGAAGAGGAAGGAGCUUUGGGUAGCAGAAAUUCUGCCUGUGUUCAUGACCAAGUGACUUCAAAGAUGCUGAGGAGUUUGGCGACAAGUCCUUUUGUGUGGCUUCCACUAGGGACUGUCCUGGGACACUGUCAUCUUAAGAGGGUUGAGGAGUGUCCAAGUGUGUGCUCCCAGCAAGGUCAACGUCUGAACCUGAAGAUCAAAUCUUCAGCAGGAAUUCCAGUCUGGAGUUAAAGGAAAUACUGAGCAGGUGUGGUAGCCUGGCUGGUCCC